GUUUAUCAAGACAUAACUUGAUUAUUGAGGAACAUCUGGGUUCUGUCUCAUGGCUGGAGGUCAGCAUAUCUCAGUGCCAGAGCACAGGGCAGGUGCCAGCUCCAUGGACUCCUGAACUGAGUUUCUUCAGCCUGCACACGCCCCUCCCUACUACAGUGAAGAGAUUCAAGACCAUAAGCUCCACAAGAGCAGGAUCUGAGUCUGCUCUGUUAACUGAUGUAGGCCCAAACACCCAGAAGAGUGCAUGGCACCCAAUAGAUGUUUCUGGAAAGAAUGAAUAGGUGGAACUCGCUGGACAAGUAGAGAAAAUGAACGCCUGGAAGAAGCUGAAGACCACCUGGGGGCCAUCUGGGCAGGCUCCCUGGGAGGUGCCCUGGGACAAGAGAAUGUUAGAACGACUGACCCAGGACUCUGAAAGAGGGGCUGCACAGGGUGGGGAAGGGCACUGUGAUAGUCUUAAGUCAGGCAGGUUCCCAGAGCCCACGGGAAACAAAAGUAGGAGUCUCAUGGAAUCUUCCUGAGCUUCUUAACCAAGAAGAGAAAUGCUUCCUAAAUACCAUCAUUUGGGGUUUUAUAAGACAAACUCCAAGAUGUGACUAUGUGUUACCAAAUCACAAGACAAAAACACGUUUUUCCUUGGUGUAUCCAAAGGAAUUGUUUUCUAAAGUGAAGAGAAUCCAACCUAAAGUGAUUAACUGUUUCAAACCAAGAACUUAAACACUGAAUGAUCUCUUCAAAUAACCUUCAACUCCUGGCUGUAAUCAUUCCUUUUUACAGAUUAGUCUUAUAAACAAACAUAGUGUAAAAAACCCCCAUUGGAAUCUAAUCAACAUUUUUGUAUCUGUGUUCCCAGAAGCAAUUAUUGAAUAGAUCUGGAUGCUAACUCUAUACUAGGUACAGUGGAAGAUCAUACACAAACAAACACACACACACACACACACACACACACACGGUUACUGUUCCUAAAGUUUUUUCAACCUAUUUCUUAGGUCAUACACCUGUAAACUGCAUGCCCCUUUAAAAGUAUUCCAAAAUUCAUUCUUUUCUCUCAAUCUGAAUGAAGAGAUUAUUCUUGCAUCUCUCUAGCGCUCCCCUUCUUCCAAGGUACCGUUCAAAAACUACUGUCCACAAGGUUUGUUUUACAAACCUCAUUUCCUCUAAUCCCCUGAGCAAUCCUGUGAGGACUUUACCAAGUUGUAUGACCUCUCUGAGCCUCAGUUGCCUGCCUGGAAAGGCAGGAAUAACAACAGAGAGGGGUCGUGUGGAUUGAAUGAGAUGGGAUGUGCUGGUGCUUUUAGAAUUCGAAGGGGCUUUACGCAAGUGAUACUCGCAUGAGUCCAUUGUCCAUCAUAAAUGAAUUUUCCCAGGCCCUCUGUGUCCUGCAUUUUGGCUGUACCAUAACCUCUCAUUUAUCAAGAAGCCAAAUGAUCUAAACUGUCAACAACCAGGAUAUUUUAACACUCAGAGCUGACCCUGAGACACUACAGGAUCCAAUGAGAUUUCUGAAUCAUAAAAGAUAGAUUGAACUACAUGUCUGCAUGGCAUGUGUAUUUUAUUGUAUUCUAAACUUAUUUGAAAAAUUUAUGAUGAGUACUUGGCAGUACUUCUCCAUGUGUGUUCCAACAGGUUUUACACAAUAAAAGGGCUCUAUCGUCAGAGCUG